rnacentral:rRNA from 1 species
UACGUAGGCAGCGAGCGUUUGUUCGGAGUUACUGGGCGUAAAGCGUGCGUAGGCGGUGUUCUAAGUCUGUUGUGGAAAUCUCCCGGCUUAACCGGGAGGGUGCGGCGGAAACUGCUCGUCUGGAGUACGGUAGAGGACCAUGGAAUUCCAGGUGUAGCGGUGGAAUGCGUAGAGAUCUGGAAGAACACCGGUGGCGAAGGCGGUGGUCUGGGCCGUGACUGACGCUGAGGAGCGAAAGCCAGGGGAGCCAAAGCGGG